rnacentral:tRNA from 1 species
AGUGUGGUGGCCAAGCGGUUAAGGCGUUGGACUUAAGUUCCAAUGGACAUUAGUCCUCGUGGGUUCAAAACCCACCCGCAGUA